rnacentral:rRNA from 1 species
AUGGCGGAGCUCGCGUCGGGUGCGGUGAGCUCGCUACUGGGCGUCAUCCGCAAUGAGGCGCUGCUGCUGGGCCGCGUCCGGCACGACGUGCAGUUCAUCCGGGAGGAGAUGGAGAGCAUGCAGAGCUUCUUGACACAUUUGUCAAAGAAGGCGCCUGCCGGUGGCGAGCACGACGAGCAGAUCCGCACCUGGAUGAACCAGGUCCGGCUGCUCGCCCAGGACAGCAACAACUGCAUCGAUCUGUAUCUGUACCGCGGCAACCCCGACCUUCAUCUCGCCAGGGGCGGCCUCCGGCGCUACGUCGCGUGGCUCCCUGACGGGUUUAUGGGACGGGAAAAAAAUAGCCCCGCGCAUGGUGACGGGGACGGGAACGGGUUUACAAUUUUCUCAUGGGAUGGGUUAAGGCAGAGGACUACAUGGUCCGACGGGUGGCCUCCUAAUGCAGUGCCAGACGGGUACGGCGUUGAAGUCCCAUCUAAAGGGGCGGGCGCAGAGCAGCCACCUGGAGGGGCUGGGCUCACGCCAGCAGCGACAUCAUCAUCAUUGGGGCAUGUGGCCACAUGGUCUGCUGCUUCCGGAGAUGAAGAAGAAGACGGUCGCGAACAACUCGUGGUGGCAAUGGCAGCAACCGAUCAUUCUGUUUUACGAGGGGCAUUUUUCGAGCCCCGUAGGCCAGAGGACAAUGUUAGGCUGAACCUAGCUAAAUGGAUAAACAAUGUUGCACAACGCAACACUACUGCGGUGAAACCAAUACCAUCCAUCGCAAUUGUGGCACCGGAUGAGCAAGAAACCAGUGCUAUUGCAGCUGAAGCAUCGGCUUUAUGGGAAGAACAUCAUGGCACCCGCAGUGUCGCCUUGAUCGACAUACCCGCAGUGCACUUUUAUUCUGAUUUUCUAGAAGCCGAGGACAUUGUCUACUACAUCCUGCGGGAGCUGCAGUCUGUCGAAAUCCAACACCAACUACAGAAAGGCCAGCUGCAGCUCAACCAAAUGAAUGAAUACCAGCUGGGCCUGCUGGAGUCUGUUAAAGAUGAACCCUUAGGCGUACUCCUCCAAGCCUUGUGGCAGCUCAAUCCCAUGGAAGCUAAUGGUGCGCCUACUACCAAGCAAAGCCAAGAAAAUAAGAAAGCCACACGUUCAGAAAAGAAGGAACCCACACGUUCAGAGAGGAAGAAGGCCACACAUACACACGAUGAUAUCAUCAAGGAAACAGCCAAGAAGCUUAAAGGUCAUAUGGAAAAAGAUGCAGAUGAAAAAUCGAGGCCUAAAGAGCACAUGGAAGAAGAUGACAAACUAAGGCCUAAAGAGCAUAUGGAAGAAGAGGAAAAACUGAAGCCUGAAGAGGACAUGGAAGAACAAGCAUCCCCAAAGCAAAUUCGUCUCGAGGAAGGCCAUUAUGCAGACAUUCUACUGGAGGUGUUCCCUCGGCCGGUGAACCUGGAGCAAGACUCAAAGCAAGCCACCCCAACAGGCACUAGUAUAUUGGUUGAGGAGCCAUUCAAAGAAAUAAUCCGCAAAAUAAUGCAGGAGGUGCAGGAAGACAACUCCAUCAGCAAACUAGAUAUAUCUGAUGGUAAACAAAGCCAGGAUUGUAUCCCGGAUUUUCUUAUUGAAGAAACCAUACAGAAGAUCGAAGAAAUCCAUUGGAAGAUUGAACAGCAGCUUUUGGUUAUCAAAGGGAUCAUGGAUAGAUUCAGUAACUUUUUGGAGAGACACCAUCAGAUCCUGGUUAUACUCAAACUAGAUAAUGACUGGGUAUUCGGAUGGGAGGAGACAAAAAAUGCUUUCAGCAUGCUUGGUUGCAUAGCCGGUGCACUGAUGUUGACCUUCGAAGAAAACAGAGAUGAAGCCAAAGAAUACUGUUGCCCGCCUCAGGAGCCUAUAGAUUAUUCUGUUAUUUGCCUCUACCGUGAUAUUGCACUCGAGCUUACAAAUCAACACAUGAAACAAGAUAGCACCCAGAUUCUUCUUGACAUCUUGGAGAAGUGUAAGAAAUAUGAAUUCUGCAUGAAGAUCUUCGUUCAUGCUUUGAACGCCAACCCCAAGAGGAGCAAGGAAGAGCUAAGCAAAUUGGACAGCACUCUGCAGCAGCUUCCAGACAACUCAUUGGACAACGUUGCUAAAAAGAUGUUCAAGUUCUGUUAUAGUGAUCUACCUAAUGAAUACAAGUCCUGCUUGCUGUACCUAGCUAUUUUCCCUCGGCGACAACCCAUCAGGCGGUCAACCUUAAUAGGACGUUGGGUUGUAGAAGGGCUGAUUACCAAGGAAGACUGGGCCAGUUCUGUGCGUCAUGCCAAUCGAUGUUUUGAUGUGCUCGUCAAUCGGUGGCUUAUUUAUCCAGCUGAUAUUGGUGCUACAGGAAAGAUAAAGAGCUGUGUGAUUGGCGAUCUAGUUCAUGCAUUCAUUACCAGGAUCGCAAGAAAACGGCGCAUUGUGGAAACACGCCUGUCACAUCACUUGGCUCUCCGCUUCUCCAUUUUCAAUGACCUUCGACUCCGUGGGAAGAACCAAAGCUACCUCAUGGACAUAUGUAGCAAGAUGUUACUGCUCAAGUAUCUGAGCCUAAGGAGAACAGAUGUUACCCAGCUACCCACUGAAAUCAACAACCUCCGUGAGCUGGAAGUAUUGGAUAUCAGAGAGACCAAUGUGCCUCCAUAUGCAACAGUAAAUGUCUUACUCCUGAAGUUGAAGCGUUUGUUGGCUGGUCGCAUUGUUUUGAGUUCAGGGGCAAGUAGUACUGAACUAUCUAGUGUUGUGAUUCCUGAUAAGGUCGAAAAAAUGAUAAACAUGGAGGUAUUGUCCAAUGUCAAGGGACGGACCAGACAAGAUUUUAAAGAUAUUGGAAAGUUGUGGCAGCUGAGGAAGCUUGGUGUGGUUAUUGAAAACAAGGAGCCACACCUCAGAAAUUUUCUUCGAGCUAUCAGUGAUCUGCAUGAGUGCCUCAAGUCUCUGUCAAUUACUCUUUCCAGUACAGAGGGCAGCAAAGAUUUCACACCCUAUGUUCUUGAACACUAUAAAAACACUCCCAAGCUUCUCGAGAGCCUAAGCAUUACCGGAACCACACAAACGGUGCAACUUAUUCGGUUGUCGACCAGAGAUAAUGGCCAACUACAACUUGGUAAGGUAACUCUAUCUGGUACCCGGCUGAGUCAGGCUGAUCUGAAUGUCCUUGCCAAGCUGCCCAAAUUAAUAUGUCUCAGGCUCCGAGACAACGCAUACAUUGAUAGCAACCUCAACUUUAUCGAGGAUGAAUUCGAAAAUCUCAAGUGCUUUCUUAUUGAGGGUUCCAACAUAACUGUCCUCAACUUUGGAGGUGGAGCACAUAAACUGGAGAAAAUCGUUCUGUGCUCCACUGAAGGAUUGUCAAUUUCUGGAGUUGAAGACCUUCUGGAACUGAAGGAGGUCGAGUUGAAGAACUGCAAUAAGUUAUUAUUGUUUGACAAGGCCAAAAACAUAUCCAAGGUGACUCUUUGUCAUACCUCUGUGAGUCAAUAUGAGGUAGAGAUUCUCGCCAAGAUGCCUAACAUGCGCAACCUAGUACUCAAGGACAUAUUUUGUGUACAAAGCCAGCUUAUCUUAUACAAAGGUGACUUCCCAAAGCUCAACCUUCUUACACUCGACUUCUCUGUCACCCCCAAGAUUAUCAUUACCGACGGAUCAGCUGCUAAGCUCGAGAAAAUCAUCUGGUCCUUCACAAAGGACACGGUGGGUACUCUCUCCAUCUCUUGCAUUGACAUCCUUCCAAACCUGAAGGAGCUCGAGCUCAAUGGUGAUUUUGUCCCCGGGGAGGUGGAAGAAGCAUUGAAGAAACACAAGAACAAACCCAAGUUUACACACAACAAACCGGAAUACCAAUACCAGGAAGCGGGAAACAUACCAGAAAAGAAAGAUCCACCAAGAUUCUCAUUAUUCAGGAAGCAAGAGGAUUGA